CCCUUAGAUGUUCUGGGCCGCACGCGUGCUGCACUGAGUGGAUCAGCGGGUCAGGUUGCGCGAAAGCGUUUCCUAAUCUUUAAAUCCGCUCGUGAUGGGGAUUGACGGUUGCAAUUUUCUGUCAUGAACGAGGAAUACCUUGUAAGCGCGGGUCAUCAUCCCGCGCUGAAUACGUCCCUGCCCUUUGUACACACCGCCCGUCGCUCCUACCGAUUGAGUGGUCCGGUGAGGCUUUGGGAUCUGAGCGGAAAGAGCGUCUCGCUGUUUCUGCUCGGAAAACUCAGUCGAACCUUAUCAUUUAGAGGAAGGAGAAGUCGUAACA
rnacentral:rRNA from 1 species